AUUGAACGCUGGCGGCAGGCCUAACACAUGCAAGUCGAGCGGAGCGGCGGACGGGUGAGUAAUGCCUAGGAAUCUGCCUGGUAGUGGGGGAUAACGUCCGGAAACGGGCGCUAAUACCGCAUACUAUCAGAUGAGCCUAGGUCGGAUUAGCUAGUUGGUGGGGUAAAGGCCUACCAAGGCGACGAUCCGUAACUGGUCUGAGAGGAUGAUCAGUCACACGGGAACUGCGACACGGUCCAAACUCCUCCGGGAAGCACCAGGGGGAAAUAUUGGACAAUGGGCGAAAGCUUGAGCCAGCAAGGCCGCGGGGGUGAAGAAGGUCUUCGGAUUGGAAAGCACUUUAAGUUGGGAGGCGUUACCAACAGAAUAAGCACCGGCUAACUUCGUGCCAGCAGCCGCGGUAAAC
rnacentral:rRNA from 1 species